rnacentral:lncRNA from 1 species
AAAGUAUUAUAUGCCGUUUAUUUGCAAAGAUAAAUUAGGUACAUACAUAUCACAUGGAGUACUAGUCGAUAAUUCCACUCGUGCAUGUAGCAUUUAGGCGGAGGUAACCAUAGAACAGCUCUCGAAAUCUAACGCGGUAAGGAUAUCUUAGAUCUCUACACCUGCAAAUCUUAAUGCUGCUAUGUUUAAUGCAGUAAUACCAUAUAAUUCCAUUUGGCUAGUGUUAGACUAUACUAGUCAGCAGCACGUAAGCAGGAUUUAAACAGCUUCUUAGCUACAUGCAGUAUUUAAAAGAUUUUAAAUUACAUCCGUUCACUAAGGAACAAAGACAGUGCACGUGCAUUUUACAGAGUGGUUACAUAUAUUACA